ensembl:snRNA U1 U1 spliceosomal RNA
AGACUUACCUGGCAGAGGGAAGGGGACACACCACAACCACAAAGGUGGUUUUCCCAUCUUCUCUUGUACUCUGAGUGUGCCGACCCCUGACAUUUCCCCAAAUUUGGGAAGCUUGAAUGCAUUAUUUAUGGUAGUGGGGAACUACAUUCAUGAUUUUUCCUA